rnacentral:lncRNA from 1 species
CUCAUCAGAGACACACGGGAGGUGAGAUGUCCCAAUGUGGGUACUCUGCCCAUAGUGUCAGUAAAUGCUAUAUAUUAUUAUAUAUUUUUUUAAAUACAGUGAAGGACUUUAGAGAGAGAGGUCCUCUUAAGCUAAACAUCUCCUUAGGUCAGCUGAGAUGUAAAGCACAGUCCUUGUACCCUCCUGUCGUCAAGAUGGCUCAAAAUUCAUGUGAGGAAGUUGGGUCUGCUGUCCUUAAGAGCUCCAAGCAAAGCCACUUGGUAACAAGCUCUGUCUUUUCAGUGACUGCAUUCGAGGAUGGCAAGAGACCACGUACCAUUACGUAACUGUUUGAGUGAAAAGAAUUUUCCUCAAAAGUACUUGGGACACUAAGCAGAUGGCAGCAACUUAAUCCAGUCCAAAGAAGGAGUAAGUGAAAUCACUCAGUCAGUUACAUUCAUUGGGAAAACUCUCUGAUUCUCUCAUAUCUAAUGGAAAAAGAAAAUAAAACAUUACUGAAACUGCCA